rnacentral:rRNA from 1 species
GAUGAACGCUGGCGGCGUGCCUAAUACAUGCAAGUCGAGCGAACAGACGAGGAGCUUGCUCCUCUGACGUUAGCGGCGGACGGGUGAGUAACACGUGGAUAACCUACCUAUAAGACUGGGAUAACUUCGGGAAACCGGAGCUAAUACCGGAUAAUAUAUUGAACCGCAUGGUUCAAUAGUGAAAGACGGUUUUGCUGUCACUUAUAGAUGGAUCCGCGCCGCAUUAGCUAGUUGGUAAGGUAACGGCUUACCAAGGCAACGAUGCGUAGCCGACCUGAGAGGGUGAUCGGCCACACUGGAACUGAGACACGGUCCAGACUCCUACGGGAGGCAGCAGUAGGGAAUCUUCCGCAAUGGGCGAAAGCCUGACGGAGCAACGCCGCGUGAGUGAUGAAGGUCUUCGGAUCGUAAAACUCUGUUAUUAGGGAAGAACAAAUGUGUAAGUAACUAUGCACGUCUUGACGGUACCUAAUCAGAAAGCCACGGGUAACUACGUG